AUUGAACGCUGGCGGCAGGCCUAACACAUGCAAGUCGAACGAGUGGCGGACGGGUGAGUAAUGUCUGGGAAACUGCCUGAUGGAGGGGGUUAACUACUGGAAACGGUAGUUAAUACCGCAUACCAUCGGAUGUGCCCAGAUGGGAUUAGCUAGUAGGUGGGGUAAAGGCUCACCUAGGCGACGAUCCCUAGCUGGGCUGAGAGGAUGACCAGGCAAACGGGAACUGAGACACGGUCCAGAGUCCUACGGGAGGCAGCAGUGGGGAAUAUUGCAAAAUGGGAGCAAGGCUGAUGGAGCCAUGCCGCGUGUAUGAAGAAGGCCUUCGGGUUGUAAGGUACUUUCAGCGGGGAGGCGUUACCCGGAGAAGAAGCACCGGCUAACUCCGUGCCAGCAGCCGCGGUAAUAC
rnacentral:rRNA from 1 species